rnacentral:rRNA from 1 species
GACGAACGCUGGCGGCGUGCUUAACACAUGCAAGUCGAACGGUAAGGCCCUUCGGGGUACACGAGUGGCGAACGGGUGAGUAACACGUGGGUGAUCUGCCCUGCACUUCGGGAUAAGCCUGGGAAACUGGGUCUAAUACCGGAUAGGACUCCUGGCUUCAUGGUUGGGGGUGGAAAGCUUUUGCGGUGGGGGAUGGGCCCGCGGCCCAUCAGCUUGUUGGUGGGGUAAUGGCCUACCAAGGCGACGACGGGUAGCCGGCCUGAGAGGGUGACCGGUCACACUGGGACUGAGAUACGGCCAAGACUCCUACGGGAGGCAGCAGUGGGGAAUAUUGCACAAUGGGCGCAAGCCUGAUGCAGCGACGCCGCGUGAGGGAUGACGGCCUUCGGGUUGUAAACCUCUUUCAGCUAUGACGAAGCGCAAGUGACGGUAGUAGCAGAAGAAGGACCGGCCAACUACGUGCCAGCAGCCGCCGUAA